rnacentral:rRNA from 1 species
AUUGAACGCUGGCGGCAGGCCUAACACAUGCAAGUCGAACGAGUGGCGGACGGGUGAGUAAUGUCUGGGAAACUGCCCGAUAGAGGGGGAUAACUACUGGAAACGGUAGCUAAUACCGCAUACCAUCGGAUGUGCCCCGAUGGGAUUAGCUAGUAGGUGGGGUAACGACUGACCUAGGCGACGAUCCCGAGCUGGUCGGAGAGGAUGACGAGCAAAACUUGAAUGGAGAAACGGUCAAGACGCCUACGGGAGUCAGCAGUGGGGAAUAGUGCACAAUGGGCGCAAGCCGGAUGCAGCCAUGCCGCGUGUAUGAAGAAGGCCUUCGGGUUGUAAAGUACUUUCAGCGGGGAGGCGUUACGCGCAGAAGAAGCACCGGCUAACUCCGUGCCAGCAGCCGCGGUAAUAC